rnacentral:misc_RNA from 1 species
GUCGUAACAAGGUUUCCGUAGGUGAACCUGCGGAAGGAUCAUUACCACACCUAAAAAACUGUCCACGUGAACCGUUGUAACCAUGUUUUGUGCUUCGCUGAUUUUGAAUGGUCUAUCCUUUUUGGAGGGACUAAACGGAAGAGGCUUGAGGCUAAACGAAGGUUGACUUGUACUUCUUCGGAGGCGCUCGUUAGCUGAUUUAUUUUUUUCAAACCCUUAAACAAUUACUGAUAUACUGUGAGAACGAAAGUUCUUGCUUUUAACUAGAUAACAACUUUCAGCAGUGGAUGUCUAGGCUC